AUCUGACUGGGAGAUGAACAGAGCCAGUCAAGAGGUCCCCGCUGCCUCUCCUGAGCAAAGCAGCUGUGGGCAUCAUUAACACGGGGCCUGGAAGAAAUCCGGCAAGGGCAGAGGGAAGCCAGGCUAUGAGGCCUCUAAGAGUGCUCCGUGGAAAAGAGAAUGCGCAGCUCAGGCUGGAGCCUUCUCCAUGGUGCUGAUUAUAACCAAGCUCUACCCUCAAGCCCUCUUCAGAGGUCUUCCAGCUGGCAUCCAGAGGGGGUGAGAUGAUCUAUCAGAUACCUGCAGAUGAGCUGGGAGAGGGCAGCAUCACCUGCUACUUACCAAGUUUGGGUCCAGAACAAAGGAAUAUAGCUGAGAAUAGAAAAAGGGAAGAUAAAAGAAGUUCGCGGCAUCACAGAGUUGCUGUUGUUUGUCCUUUAUUCUUGAAGACCGAUGACAUAACGAGGGUGAUGUCUUGACUUGAGUUGGAUUCAAGGGAGAGCUGUGCAGUCCUCAGCCCCUCUCUCCCCCAGAGUCAUCGGAGUUAGAGCCGUCUGGGUGGGACAUUCAAGGCCAUCGCAUCCAGCCCCCAGCUCUCCUCUGAUAAGGCCUAGAAUAUGGGACGGGUGCCCCUAGGUCACACGCCGGGCUGUGCACUUUGUCUGUCCCCUACAAUGCCCUUGUCGGAGUGAAGUAACCAAACUGGAUUCUCUAACCGUUCUGCUGUUCUGUGGCUGAUGUUCCCAGAUUGAAGGACAGCACAGUUCUGGGUACAGGCAACUUGAGUUUGUGUCUUGAUUUACAGAUAUCCCAUUCAUCUUCUACUCCAGGGGUGGACCUGCUGUGAUCUUGUCUUGGUUCCCAUCUUCCAGCAAAGUUCAGCCCCCAGGCUCCAAGAGGGUGAUCCAGGGACAUUUUCCCGGUACUCCCUGCUGCUGGGCAGGGAUAGGUUGGCUAUAGGUAGAGGGAGCCCUCCUCUGUGACCUGUUCCUCUCUCCCUCCCUCCCUCCCCCCAAACCCCAGGCUACACUUUGAAUAUGAAGCAUUGAAUUGAGUCACUGUAAUGAAUGAAGCCGUUGGAUAUCUCAUUUACGGUUUGACAUCCAUGCUGGCACCUCGGCAGAUGCCUCUUACCCCUGCCUGGGGAAGCCACUUAUGAAGAUAGCAUAUUGCCGAUCUACAACCGUCCACCCGCAACCAAUCCAUUUAGCAUUGGGCUUCCAUUAGGGAUGGGAUGGGGGUGGGGGGUAGGAGAGGGGAAGGGGAAGAGAGAUGAAAUAAAUCAGGAUCUGCCUUUGGAUAUGUCUCUUUU
rnacentral:lncRNA from 1 species